AAUAAAAGAAUUUCUGCGUUUUUAUUUAGAAUUUUUGACUCUUCGUCUUAUUUGAAAUUUUUUAUUAUUAAUAUUUUUAUUGUUACUACAUGAUAAAACAUGAAUAAUACUUUAUGUGUGACUAAUUUUUUUUUAUUUUUUAAUAAAUUUUUCAAAUAAGACGGAUGGUUAAACGCGAGAAAUAC
rnacentral:pre_miRNA from 1 species